rnacentral:rRNA from 1 species
GCAAGUCGAGCGGAAACGAUGGGAGCUUGCUCCCAGGCGUCGAGCGGCGGACGGGUGAGUAACGCGUAGGAAUCUGCCCAGUAGAGGGGGAUAGCCCGGGGAAACCCGGAUUAAUACCGCAUACGCCCUACGGGGGAAAGGCCGGGAUCUUCGGACCGGUCACUAUUGGAUGAGCCUGCGUGAGAUUAGCUAGUUGGUGGGGUAAAGGCUCACCUAGGCGACGAUCCCUAGCUGUUCUGAGAGGAUGAUC